rnacentral:sRNA from 1 species
AUGGUUACUGAUACCGGACACGGGCGUUGAGGGAACUCUGCGCCCGUGUCUGCAUGUUAAGGGAAAAAUAAAU